UACGUAGGGGGCGAGCGUUGUCCGGAUUUAUUGGGCGUAAAGGGCUCGUAGGCGGUCUGUUGCGUCGGGUGUGAAAACUCAGGGCUUAACCCUGAGCCUGCUUCCGAUACGGGCAGACUAGAGGUAUGCAGGGGAGAGCGGAAUUCCUGGUGUAGCAGUGAAAUGCGCAGAUAUCAGGAGGAACACCGGUGGCGAAGGCAGUUCUCUGGGCAUGACCUGACGCUGAGGAGCGAAAGUGUGGGGAGCGAACAGG
rnacentral:rRNA from 1 species